AUAACUGGGUUAUGGGAGUUUAGCUUGUUAGGUCUUCAAUCAAUUCAAUUUUUUGAAUAGUUAACAUCUGGUUGAUUAGGCCGAAUAUUUCUCCUCCCAUCCGAGCCUAGGCUCUGCUAGAUCUUUUCUCAGCUGUUUGCAAGUAUAAUGGAGGUCUCAAUUAAUCAUGGGUUGUCUCCAUGGGAGGAGCGAGAGUUUGGCCCUUCAAAUGCACUCCCUAGCCUCG
rnacentral:lncRNA from 1 species